ACGGGUAUAAAAAGUAUAGUAUUCGGCCGUAUUGUUUGAAAAUUUAUCGCUUAUUAAUAAAAUAAACCGACAUUGACGACAAAUUUCUAAAAAUCAGGGCGAUUACUGUUUUCAUUCUAUUUUGAUUUUUUUUUAAUUUUUUUGUAGUAUAUAUAAAUUACAAAUUCAGAAGAGGUUCUCCAGAUCCGCAGGGAAAUCUCUGUCGUAAUGCAAAGAUUGACAUUUUGGCGGACAAACUGGCGGAAACCACCGCCAUUUUAAAGGUGUCGUUUGCUCCUGACAAGGAUUUUUCGGGCGUGGUACCAUUUCCGUUAAAAACGGAAGAAGAAUUGGAUGAAUUCGAAAAUUCCUUUACCCCGGAGCAUAUCGGUUUAUACACAAAGAAAAUAUCAAAAAUUAUUUGAAGCGAACCGCUGUCAAAGCGGUUCAAACUUACCAUAGCGGAAGACAUUAUAAGCAACUACAAUUUGGACGUGUCCAACGGGAAAUAGUCCCUCAGAUCCCGUAUAGGGUUAUACGAAGUUCUUAAAGGAGCGUUGGCCAAGGACUCCGAGGACCCGGACAAAUGUUUGAGAAAGGAGAUGACAAGUGUUAAAAAUAAGCUUACAAAACAAAAUAACAGAAACAAUAAUUGUCCAUUAUUUGAAAAUUUGAA